CGGAAAAACAACCCACCACGGAUGUCACAUCCUCUUGGAAGUUUCACACCUUGCAGAGCGGACUCUGUGUGAGGCCCAUUGUUGUGCCACCAACACGUGAAAAGCUUUAUUAAACCUCGUCCGUUGCAGCCAAGCUUGACAAGCGAACGAGCCGCAUUUCUUCCGAGUGGAGUAGAUUUGCUGGGGGCGGGCGGAAUUCGGCUCCCUCCCUGACGCUCCCGGGAAGCCAGCGCGGUCCCAGCCCCCGGCCCUUUGUGCGGGCGCCCGGCGCCCAGCAAUUGUGUCUCUAAUCAACUGCCUCUAAGCAGGACCCUGUCUGAGGAGGGGGCUGCUACCCCAGCUGCCAAAGGCUGAGAGCCCAGGGAAGCACAUCCCAGCCUUCUUCCAGGGACUGGAGGUGAGGGGAGGGUGACACCGGAGCCUCCCCAGGAGUACAAGCCAGCCCAGCUUUGAGAGAUGGAGAGCAAGAAACCGAUAUCCAGGGGAAGCCAGAGCUAUGCCUUGCUGGACUGUAAUGCACUGAGUAUUUUGCAGGCCCUGUGGAUCAAUAGCAAUGCAUAAUUGAGAGAUGAAACACUGCCUGGUUACACAGCCGUGAGACUGAGAGAUGCGGUGGGCCCUAGCCAGCCCCAGAGUCCUUCUGAGGCUUGCUGCCUGGUUUCAAGGCAUCUCCCUCAAUCCCUACCCUCUCCAUACUCAGGUAGAACAGCCUCCAUUUAGUGGAAGUGAAGCUCAUGCCAGAUACCGGUAGUGUGGGAUGGUGGUUAAGAGUGCAGGCUCUGGAGUCAGACUGUAUCAGCUAGCCAUUGCCACAAUCAUGCUGUGUAACAACAACAACAACAAAAUGUUUUUGAUAAAACCUCA
ensembl:lncRNA